rnacentral:rRNA from 1 species
AGCUUGCUCCCUUAGGUCAGCGGCGGACGGGUGAGUAACACGUGGGUAACCUGCCUGUAAGACUGGGAUAACUCCGGGAAACCGGGGCUAAUACCGGAUGCUUGAUUGAACCGCAUGGUUCAAUCAUAAAAGGUGGCUUUUAGCUACCACUUGCAGAUGGACCCGCGGCGCAUUAGCUAGUUGGUGAGGUAACGGCUCACCAAGGCGACGAUGCGUAGCCGACCUGAGAGGGUGAUCGGCACACUGGGACUGAGACACGGCCCAGACUCCUACGGGAGGCAGCAGUAGGGAAUCUUCCGCAAUGGACGAAAGUCUGACGGAGCAACGCCGCGUGAGUGAUGAAGGUUUUCGGAUCGUAAAACUCUGUUGUUAGGGAAGAACAAGUACCGUUCGAAUAGGGCGGCACCUUGACGGUACCUAACCAGAAAGCCACGGCUAACUACGUGCCAGCAGCCGCGGUAAUACGUAGGUGGCAAGCGUUGUCCGGAAUUAUUGGGCGUAAAGCGCGCGCAGGCGGUUUCUUAAGUCUGAUGUGAAAGCCCCCGGCUCAACCGGGGAGGGUCAUUGGAAACUGGGGAACUUGAGUGCAGAAGAGGAGAGUGGAAUUCCACGUGUAGCGGUGAAAUGCGUAGAGAUGUGGAGGAACACCAGUGGCGAAAGCGACUCUCUGGUCUGUAACUGACGCUGAGGCGCGAAAGCGUGGGGAGCGAACAGGAUUAGAUACCCUGGUAGUCCACGC